CACGUAGGGUGCGAGCGUUGUCCGGAAUUAUUGGGCGUAAAGAGCUCGUAGGCGGUGUGUCGCGUCGGCCGUGAAAACCUGCAGCUUAACUGUGGGCUUGCGGUCGAUACGGGCAUCACUGGAGUUCGGCAGGGGAGACUGGAAUUCCUGGUGUAGCGGUGAAAUGCGCAGAUAUCAGGAGGAACACCGGUGGCGAAGGCGGGUCUCUGGGCAGUAACUGACGCUGGAGGAGCGAAAGCCGUGGGGAGCGAACAGG
rnacentral:rRNA from 1 species